rnacentral:rRNA from 1 species
UACGUAGGGGGCAAGCGUUGUCCGGAUUUAUUGGGCGUAAAGAGCGUGUAGGCGGCUAUACAGGUCCGCUGUGAAAACUCGAGGCUCAACCUCGAGACGUCGGUGGAAACCGUAUGGCUAGAGUCCGGAAGAGGAGAGUGGAAUUCCUGGUGUAGCGGUGAAAUGCGCAGAUAUCAGGAGGAACACCUGUGGCGAAAGCGGCGCACUGGACCACAACUGACGCUGAGGCGCGAAAGCUAGGGGAGCAAACAGG